rnacentral:rRNA from 1 species
UACAGAGGUCCCAAGCGUUGUUCGGAUUCAUUGGGCGUAAAGGGUGCGUAGGCGGCGCGGUAAGUCGGGUGUGAAAUCUCGGAGCUUAACUCCGAAACUGCAUUCGAUACUGCCGUGCUUGAGGACUGGAGAGGAGACUGGAAUUUACGGUGUAGCGGUGAAAUGCGUAGAUAUCGUAAGGAAGACCAGUGGCGAAGGCGGGUCUCUGGACAGUUCCUGACGCUGAGGCGCGAAAGCGUGGGGAGCAAACGGG